rnacentral:rRNA from 1 species
GACGAACGCUGGCGGCGUGCUUAACACAUGCAAGUCGAACGGAAAGGCCCUGCUUUUGUGGGGUGCUCGAGUGGCGAACGGGUGAGUAACACGUGAGUAACCUGCCCUUGACUUUGGGAUAACUUCAGGAAACUGGGGCUAAUACCGGAUAGGAGCUCCUGCUGCAUGGUGGGGGUUGGAAAGUUUCGGCGGUUGGGGAUGGACUCGCGGCUUAUCAGCUUGUUGGUGGGGUAGUGGCUUACCAAGGCUUUGACGGGUAGCCGGCCUGAGAGGGUGACCGGCCACAUUGGGACUGAGAUACGGACCAGACUCCUACGGGAGGCAGCAGUGGGGAAUAUUGCACAAUGGGCGGAAGCCUGAUGCAGCAACCCCGCGUGCGGGAUGACGGCCUUCGGGUUGUAAACAGCUUUCGCCUGUGACGAAGCGUGAGUGACGGUAAUGGGUAAAGAAGCACCGGCUAACUACGUG